UUUUAUUUAAUUAUGUAUAUAUUUUUAAAUUUCUGACAUUAAACCCAUAGGCCAUAGCAAAGCAGAAAAGAAGAAGAAGCUCAUUGUUUACUCCAAAACAACUUCAACAGUUUGUGUGUGUGUGUGUGUUUAAAUGUUUGCUUCUAACAACCUUAAUCUUUUGGUUUUUGUUUCUAAAAAAUGAUGUUAUCGGUUUCGCCGAUGGCUCCGGCGAAAAGUUCGCUAGAAGAAAUGUUGGAAUCUCUCCGGCGACAAGGCGAAGUCGAUAAACCUAAAGAUUUACCGCCGGCUUUACCGGUCCGACCGACUUCCAAAGCCAGACUCCCGUCGGCUCGCCGGUCCCUUCCGACGAACUUCAAAAUCGAUGCUAAUGGUGUAGAUGGUGCCGUUUUAAGUGAAGUGAAAGGAAAAGAGGAAGUUAAGAGGAACGAAAAGGAGCUGGGAGUGAAGAUAGUUAGUUUUGGGAGUAAAAAAAUGAGGAAAGAUGUGAAAGUGGAUUCACCGUAUAAUUUGGAUGCCGUGGAAGAGAAGAAAGGGGAGUAUUUGGAAGGGCAAAUUGAGGUUAAAGGAGGGAAAGGGAAUGCUAAUAUUGGGUAUUUUAUUAACAAAAAACUUCAUGUUUGGUGUCGGCUAGCCAAUGGGAUGUGGGGAUCUGGAACUAUACAAUCUACGUCUGGAGAGGAAUCAAUUGUUUCUCUCUCCAAUGGAAAUGUCAUCAAAGUCUCUACCAGCCAGCUCUUACCAGCAAACCCAGGAAUUCUGGAGGGUGUGAAUGAUCUCAUACAGCUCAGUUAUUUGAAUGAGCCAUCAGUUCUUCACAAUCUUAAGCGCAGAUAUUCUCAUGAUAUGAUAUAUAGUAAAGCAGGUCCGGUUUUAAUUGCCGUCAAUCCAUUCAAAGAUGUCCAAAUUUAUGGGAAGGAUUUUGUCACAAGUUAUAGAGAGAAAGCUACAGAUAGCCCUCAUGUUUUUGCUAUAGCAGACAAUGCUUAUAAUGAGAUGAUGAAUGAUGGAUUAAAUCAGUCUAUAAUCAUAAGUGGGGAAACUGGGGCUGGGAAAACUGAGACAGCAAAAUUUGCAAUGCAGUACCUAGCUUCCCUUGGAGGCGGAUAUGGUGGGAAAGAGUGUAAAAUCCUUCAGACGCAUUGUAUACUUGAAGCAUUUGGGAAUGCAAAGACAUCUAGGAAUGACAGUUCUAGCAGAUUUGGGAAACUUAUUGAUAUUCAUUUUACUGCAUUGGGGAAGAUAUCUGGUGCCAAUAUCCAAACUUUUCUUCUCGAAAAGUCAAGGGUAGUUCAACUGGCUGCUGGUGAAAGGUCUUACCAUAUCUUUUAUCAACUUUGUGCUGGCGCUCCACCAGCUCUAAGAGAGAGAUUGAAUCUUAAAAUGGCUAAUGAGUACAACUAUCUUGUCCAGAGUGACUGCUUGGUAAUUAAUGGUGUUGAUGAUUGUCAGAAAUUCCAAAAGCUAAAGGAAGCCUUUGAUAUUGUUCAGAUUUGCAAAGAAGAGCAAGAGCAAGUAUUUGCAAUGCUUGCUGCAGUGUUAUGGUUAGGAAAUAUAUCAUUUCAAGUAAUUGACAAAGAAAAUCAUGUGGAGGCAUUAGCUGACGAAGCUUUAACCAGUGUUGCCACGCUGAUCGGUUGUGCACCACAUGAACUGAUGCAAGCUAUAUCUACUCAUAGAAUCCAAGUUGGGAAGGAUAUUAUUGCUAAAAAAUUGACUUUGCAACAGGCAAUCGACACUAGAGAUGCAUUGGCAAAAUUCAUCUAUGCAAGCUUGUUUGACUGGCUUGUGGAACAAAUCAACAAUUCACUUGAAGCUGGCAAAAAACACAUUGGCAGGUCCAUAAGCAUCAUUGAUAUUUAUGGGUUUGAGUCAUUGAAGAAGAAUAGCUUUGAACAGUUUUGUAUAAAUUAUGCAAAUGAGAGGUUGCAACAACACUUUAACCGACACCUCUUUAAGCUUGAGCAAGAGGAGUAUGAUUUGGAAGGGAUUGAUUGGACUAAAGUUGUUUUUGAAGACAACCAAGAGUGCUUGGACUUAUUUGAGAAGAAACCCUUAGGGAUACUUUCCUUGCUGGACGAGGAAUCAAAUGCACCCAACUCAACUGAUUUCACCCUUGCUAAUAAGUUGAAGCAACACUUGAAUUCUAAUUCAUACUUCAAAGGAGACAGAGGCAGGGCCUUUGGUGUUCUACAUUUUGCGGGCGAGGUACUCUAUGAUACAAAUGGCUUUUUGGAUAAGAACCGUAAUCCACUGAGCUCUGAGGUAGUCCAACUUCUAUCAUCCUGUGACGGUCAGUUGCCACAAUUGUUUGCCAAAAAAAUGUUUAAUCAACCUCUGCAACCAGUAACUUCAUUGGACACACCAAUGCAAAGUGUUGCUUUGCAAUUCAAGGGCCAGCUCUUCAAAUUAAUGCAUCAGUUGGAGAGUACAAGAUCUCAUUUUAUUUGCUGCAUAAAACCAAACUCCAAGCAACUCCCUGGUACAUAUGAAGAAUAUCUUGUCUUGCAGCAGCUUAGAUGUUAUGGAAUUUUUGAGGUUAUUAGAAUCUCGAGGUCUGGAUAUCCUACUAGAAUGACACAUCAGGCGUUUACAGAAAGGUACGGAUUCCUACUGUCAGAUCCCAUUGUAUCUCAGGAUCCAUUGAGUAUUUCAGUUGCACUUCUAAAACAAUUUAAUGUCCUUCCUCAAAUGUAUCAAAUUGGCUAUACCAAACUGUUUCUUCGAACUGGACAGAUUAGUGCAUUGGAGGAUAGGAGAAAACAGGUGUUGAGAGGAGUAAUUGAGGUUCAGAAAUACUUCCGUGGUCACCGAGCUCGUUGUCUUUUCCAUGAGCUCAACAAAGGAGCAAAAAGUAUUCAAUCAUUUGUCUGUGGUGAAAAUAUACGAAGGAAGUAUGCUGCUGAGUCAAUUAGAUGCUCAGCAUUUGCUUCUCAAUUACUUGAUGAGCAGUUGACGGCAGUCGUAUAUUUACAAUCUGUAAUCCGUGGGUGGUUGGCCCGGAGACAUUUCAACAACAUGCAUAAUUUGAAACAGUCAAACCGUGGAAGUGUAAAAUCUAGACGAAAGAUGGGUAGGAAGAUUUUUGAAGCAAAGGACAUGCUCCAUGAACAACAGAUUCAAGUUCUACCUUCUGUAAUGGCAGAGCUCCAAAGAAGGGUUCUCAAGGCAGAAACGAAUUUGGGGCAAAAAGAACAUGAAAAUGCCACGUUACGGGAACAAUUACAGAAGUCCGAGGCAAGGUGGUUGGACUAUGAGGCAAAGAUGAAAUCAAUGGAAGAGAUGUGGCAAAAGCAAAUGGUAUCACUGCAAACAAGUCUUACUGCAGCCCGAAAGAGUCUUGCUGCUGACAAUGGUGCAGGUCAGCUAGGAAGAGCUGAUGUGUUAUCGCCUCGAUGCUAUGAUUCUGAAGAUAACGUGUCCAUGGGAUCUCGAACAACCGGUGGGAACACACCUGUCUUAUUUUCUGGUGCUAUGCCUGAUGUUGUUGGGGGGAGAGAGAACGGUUCUUUGAAUGCACUGGGCAAUCUGUUAAAGGAAUUUGAGCAGCGGAAACAAAAUUUCGAUGCCGAUGCAAAAUCUUUAAUGGACCUCAGAGUGCCACAGCAAGCUUCUAAUAUGAAUCCUGAUGAUGAACUUCGGACAUUAAGACUCCGGUUCGAGACAUGGAAGAAAGAUUACAAGCUGAGAUUAAAGGAAGCCAAGGCAAGACUACAUAAGCGUGGCCACCCCGAAUCAGACAAAGCUCGAAGAAAAUGGUGGGGGAAGUUAGGUUCAAGAGCGUGAUAGAACUCCUGGUUUGAAAGCAAUACUGAACUGCUGCCAAAAAGAACCGCCCCUUUCCAUUCUCAGGAUUUGGCAUUGUUGUUCUUAGGUAAAAAUUGUUCUCUAGAGCUAACUUGGAUUGGGAUGAGACAGAUUCAGGUAUGUGUAAAAUCUUAGUAUGUUUAUUUUUAUGGGUAAAUAUAAAUUUUGGUACCUAUAUUUGGUUUCAAGGUCCAAAUUGGUACCUAAGGGUUUUUUUUUUUAUCCAGUUAGGUACCUAAAUUUGGCCUCAAUGUUCAAUUUGGUACCUAAACCUUUUUUGAUCCAAUUAGUUGCCUAAACUUGACUUUUUUGCUUUAAAUUAGUACAUGAAGUUGGCUUCAUAGUCCAAAUUUGUUCAAAUAAGUCAUUUAUUAGAAGUUCUAAUUUAGACCAAAAAGUCAAGUUCAAGUACAAAUUUGAAUUAAGAAACCAAGUUCAGGUGCCCAAUUAAAUCAGAAUAAAUUUUAUAUACUAAAUUGAACUUUAAAAUCAAUUUCGAGUACCUAAAUUAUACACACAAAAUUUAGAUAUCAAUUUAAAUCUUGAAGCUAAAUUUAAAUACCGAAAUGCAUAUUUACCCUUUUUUUCAUUGACCUUUCCAGGAUCAUACAUACCAUUUCAAGCUAAGUUAUUUGGAUUUCGAAUUCAAUUAUCUGUCCAACAAUAGUAUGUUUAGAUUUUUUUUUUAAACAUUUUGGUUGUAUUUAGAAGAUUGUUGAUGUGUCAUAUCUUUAUCUCUAUUUAGUGUCUAACACGAAUACUUAUCUAUCAAUGAAGAGUUAAAUUCAAUUCUUAA